GCCUCACAUUUCCCAUGGGGAGCACCACAGGCAAGGGCAGCUGCUAACCUUUUGUUAUUUUGUGCUCACAUUUUUCCACAGGGAACAGAGUCCAAGUGAGGAGAGUGCCAAGAGCCCUGGAGAUCGGCUUGAGUAUGCCAUGAAUGUUGGAUUUGGCAGGGCCAGUGCUACACCCAGCAGAGGCACGGCGGUGACCCACACAACCGUAAGUCAUUGCACAGCACAGACAGCAGGUCAUUCCUCAGCUGGGGAAACAGAAUAUGACAUACAUCCA